GGCUUCCAUGAUGAGGCCUGGUGGUCGGCCCUAUCCUGUUAAUGUCACAGGCAAAUGCUUUAUUGUGGUGCUGUUCCUGCUUGGCUCAUGAUACCCCCAGAGCUCUCCUUGAUCCUCUUUAGAGAGAUUCACUAGUCUGGUAUUGAUGGUCAUCAGGACUGCACGUGGGUUGUCUUCGGCCACUUGUCAAUGACUGAAAAAUGUCAGCUUUAAGCGGUGGGCGGGACUUGAAUCCGGGUCCUCCAGGACAUUGUGCCUGCGCUCCGACCACUUAGCCGCUGCCUCCCCUUUAAGCCUGUAGUGUGUGAGGACUCAAACGUGGGACACAGGGCAAGUGCCCCAUGAUAAUAAAGUAUCUAGUAAUUAAUAAUAGUGAUAUUUGUUUUGAUGUUAAAGAUGUAGCCUAUAUGUUUUAAUUUAUACAUGGCUUGUUUUUUUUCUCUUUGCAGAUUUUGGGGAAUAGUGUUUGAAAAGUUUUGGAAAUGACAAGAGUAUUUGUGUUAGGAAUGUGAGUGUGAAUGUUGGAAGCAAGGAUAUGAGGGUGGUUGGGAAGUGGGGUGUUGAUUGAGUGAAGGAGGAUGGGCAACACCUUGCGGAUGUCUGUGUAAGGGGAGAGGGAAGAGCUUGAUGGGUUAUGUAGCUAUGGGUGAUAGGUGGAAGCAGGAUGUAUUGGACCGACGGUUGUGAGAGGAAUGUAGGAAAAGUUAGGACUGGACAGAAGUGGGAAUGUUAAAGAAAUAGUGAGAAGGAAGGAAAGGAAGGAAUACUUUGGUGAAAAAAUUGGUUAGGGAGAGUUAAGAAAGAUGAGGAAUAUGGGAUGCAAUGACCAGGUGGUGGGUGGACAUGAUGUGACAGAGAGGAAAGAGAAAGGAAAGAUGGUGGUGAUGAAUGAAAAGGUGAAGAGUGCACCCAGAUAGAAGAGACAGAAUAGUGACUGGAGCAGACUUUAGUAGACAAUAGACAUAUAGGCAAAGGAAAAAGAGGCAGUGAGAAAGUGAUAAGAGGGCAUGAUAUCACAAAAUAAUGAUGAAGAAAAGAUGGUGGUGAAUUUUGCAGGGGAGAAUGCACCAAGAAAGUAGAGAAAAAGUGGUGAUUGGAGCAGAUUUCAAUGUGCAUAUUAGUGAAGGGACCAGAGACAUUGAGGUGAUGGGUUGGCAUGGUGUCACAGAGAGGAUAGAGGAAGGACAGAAUCUGAUGAUGGUGGAAUUUGGGGGAGAGAGUGUGUACCCUGGAAGGAGAAAGAGGGGUGAAUGAAGGGGACUUAAGUUAGUAUAUUAGUGAAGGAAAUAGAGGUGAAGAGGAGGUGAUGGGUGGCCAUGAAGUCACAGAGGAAUAAUAAAGAAAAGAUGGUGAAUUUUGCGAAGCAGAGCAUACCCAGAAAGGUGGGAAAGAAUAGUGAUUUGAGCAGAUGUCAAUGGGCAUUUUGGUGAAGGGAACAGAGGCAGUGAGGAGAUGAUUGGUUGGCAUGGUGUCAAGGAGAGGAAUUAGGUAGGAAAGAUGAUGGUGGAUGGAACAGUGAAGGUUGUUCCCAGGCAUGGAAAAGAGUGGUGACUGGAGGAGACUUCAGUGGGUAUAAUAGUGAAGGGAACAGAGGAGAUGAGGAGGUGAUGGGUGUGUGCAGCAUUAAGGAGAGGAAAGAGAAAGGAUGGAAUUUGAUGAUGGUGGGGGAGAGUGUGCUUAGGAAGGAGACAAAGAGUGGUGACUGGAGCAGACUUCAGUGAGUUUAUUGGAGAAGGACGAGAGGUAAUAAACUGGUGAUGGGUAGGUGUGGCGUAAAGGAGAGGAAAGAGGAAGGGCAGGAUCUGAUGGUCAUGGAUUAUGUGAAAAGGGUGAAAAUGGCUGUAAGAAAUAUUUUAAGAACAGGGAGGAGUGGAGGGUGGCAUGUAAAAGUAGAGGGAAGUGCUAAAAGGUGGAGUAUGUAUGUCGUAGGCAGGAGGCAGAAACAGAAAGAGGUUAGAGAUGUGAGGUGGUGGUGACUGGGGAAAGAGAGAGAGUUAGACAAGGGAUGACUUUGCAGAUGAAGAUAAGGAAGAGAGUGAUGAAAGGUGAAAAAGGCUUGUGCAGAGUGGAGUUCAGGGAGAAGAUAAGAGACACUGGAUGGUAGAGAGGAGUUACUGGAUGGCUGGAGAAUACUGCAAGAAGGGAUGAGUGAGACAGUUAGGAAAGUACUCAGUGUAUCAUUUGGACAGAGGAAGGAAGACGUGGAAACUUGGCGAUGGAAUGAGGAAGUAAAGGAAAGCAUACUGAGGGAGGGGUUGGUGAAGAAUAAGUGGAAUAAUCACAUAGAGUAGACAGGAGUACAAGGAGAAAAGACAUAAUAUAUAGAGAGGUAUUGUUGGAGAAGGCAUAGGGGACAGAGACUUGGCAAUGGAAUGUGGAAGUAAGGAAAGCUUGUGGAGAGAGAGCUUGGUGAAGAAUAAGUGGAAUAAUCGCAUAAAGAGAGUAGACAUGAGUACAAGGAGAAAAGACAUAAUACAAAGAGAGGUAUUGUUGGAGAAGGCAUAGGGGACAGAGACUUGGCGAUGGAAUGCGGAAGUAAAGGAAAGUGUAUGGAGGGAGAGCUUGGUGAAGAAAACGUGGGAUAAUCAGAUGAAGGUAGACAGGAAUACAGGCGUAGGGGACAGAGACUUGGUGAUGGAAUGUGGAAGGAAAGAAAAGCAUGUGGAGGGAGAGCCUGGUGAAGAAAACGUGGGAUGAUCAGAUGAAGGUAGACAGGAAUACAGGCAUAGGGUGAUGGAAUGUGGAAGGAAAGAAAAGCAUGUGGAGGGAGAGCCUGGUGAAGAAAACGUGGGAUGAUCAGAUGAAGAAAGUAGACAGGAAUACAAGAUGAGGUGUAAAGAAAAAGGAGGUAUCAAUGGAGAAGGCUAAGAGGACAGAGACAAAGCGAUGCAAUGGGAAAGUAAAGGAUGUGGAGAGAGAGAUAAUUAAAGUGGGUUACCGAUAUGAAGGAAGUAAAGUGAAGUACAAAGAAAUUAGGCGUAAGGCAAAGAGAGAUAGAUAUUGGUGGUGAAGGCAAAGAAAAGGUGUACAGUGAGUUACAUGAGGAAUAUUACACUGAGGAAGGAGAAAAGGAUUUAUUCUGAUAUGCUAGACAGAAGGACCAAAGUCAUAGAGAUAUACAAGAGGUUUGGGUGAUGAAGGAUGGAAAUGGCUAAGGAUGACAAGUGAGGAAGGCAUGGUAGGAAAGGAAUGGAUGGAGGAGAAAAGGAGGAGAGAUGGGGACAAAGUGAGGAAUGUAUUUAACGUACAAAGUGUGGUAAGAGGAAAAGAGGACAAGGAAAGAGAGGAAAGCAAGAGGAGGAAGGGGUUUCAUUGUGUUUUGUGGGUUAAGGGAAAGCAUAUGACAGUGUGUCUGGAGAAGAUGUCAGUUACUGCUCGAGGAUAUCAGGAAUAGGGGAGAAUAUGUAAGAAUGGUGCAGGGGAUUUAGAAGGGCAGAGUGCAAUAGUGACAAAUGGGUUCAAGGUGGAAGUGGGAUUGUAUUAAGGAAUCAUUAGCAAUAGUCAUGGACAGGUUGAUUGAUGAGGUGAAUGUAACAGCAAAGGGAGUAGAUUUUGGAGUUACUGAAUGAGUGAGAUGUGGUACUGUGAGAUGACAAGGACAUGUGGUGAGAAUGACCGAGGAUGACUUUGGGUAGAGAGUGUGUGAGGGCAGGAGUGAGCAAGAGGGAGUGUGUCAGGGUGAAACAGUCAGUGAAGUGCAUCAAGAACCUGGACCUGUUAGCACCAAGUGAAGUGAAGUGAAGUGAAGUGAAGUGCCAUCGAUACUGUGUGGGUCACUGUAACCACCCAGUGCCCCGCACCACACCUCAGGGGCGGCCCAUGGCUCUGUGCUGUGGUGCCGCCCUGCCUGUAGGGGUCUGGCGGAGGUGGUGCAGGGUUGUGUCGGGACUGACUCAAGUAUGCCGUCCAUGCUCCCCGCCCUUCAAGGCUGUGGGUGGUGGAUGGGCAGAAAGACCACUGUGCCUUAGACAUGACCCUGUGCCGCUGAGGCCAGACUCCUGCCGUCCUUAAAGCUGACCUGCUGGCUGGUGGAGGCCUCGGCACCGGCUGGCCAGUGUGAAGGCGCCUGCUUGGUCUGCUCUUCAGUGUUGGUAAGUACCAUGUACAGCUCAUCGCGGGACAGCGUGGGACAGCGCGGGACAAGAGGAACGGCACAAGGAAAGUGACAAAGUUCCAUUCUUUGGUUAGGGCUCGUCUAGGAUGCUAACCUUACCCUUGCCUUUCAGGAACACAAUAAUGUUGGCUAAGUCUUUCCAGGCACUCUUUGGCUCCUGGGACAGUGUGGAACAAGAGGAACACAUCUUUUUGAUGCCUGGGACAGUGUGGGACAAGAGGAACACAUCACCAAGAAGCAGACAAGCGUGCAAACAAGGAAAGUAAAAACUGUUAUUAUACUUUGGUCAGGUGGUUAGACCUCGGCUAGGAUACUAACCCUAUCUUGCUUUUCAGGGAUUAAAGAAUGUCUGUGAAGUCAUUUCAGGUACAGCUCCCUGCCCAAAUUAUUUGUUCCCCUGUGCUGUGACUCCAGGAAUGUGUCAGAAGGACUGAAAAGGACUGAUCCCAUCACCUUCAUGAAGUUAGAAUCAGAGGACAAAAGGAACUCAGCUGAUGGCCUUCACAGUCUCUUGUAAUAUAGGCACCUCAUCCAGUUCAGAUUUUGCUGAAGUUUCAGAGACCUGAGCAGUCUGGAUUUACGCCUGAUUGUAGUGAGCAUUUACAGCAGAGUUGAAAAGUUUUGGAAAUGGAAUGGAUCAGUGAGUGAAGUGGGCAACUCUGAGGCAGUUUUGACAUGUCAUGAAAAUGAAUGAGGAGGACUCUGUGAAAAGUGUGCAAGCACUGAUGGAAGUAAAGUGGAGUGAAGUGUAGUGCCAUUGGAUGUGGGUCACUGUAACCACCCAGUGCCCUGCGCCACACCUCAGGGGCGGCCCAUGGCUCUGUGCCGCGGUGCUGCCCCGCCCGUGGGGGUCUGGUGGAGGUGGUGGAGGGUUGUGUCAGGACUGACUCAAGUAUGCCGUCCACUCUCCCUGCCCUUCAAGGCUGUGGGUGGUGGAUGGGCAGAAAGACCACUGUGCCUUAGACAUGACCCUGUGCCGCUGAGGCCAGACUCCUGCCGUCCUUAAAGCUGACCUGCUGGCUGGUGGAGGCCUCGGCGCCGGCUGGCCAGUGUGGAGGCGCCUGCUUGGUCUGCUCUUCAGUGUUGGUAAGUACCAUGUACAGCUCAUCGCAGGACAGCGUGGGACAGCGCGGGACAAGAGGAGAGCACAAGGAAAGUGACAGUUCCAUUCUUUGGUUAGGGCUUGGCUAGGAUGCUAACCUUACCUUUGCCUUUCAGGAACACAAUAAUGUUGGCUAAGUCUUUCCAGGCACUCUUUGGCUCCUGGGACAGUGUGGGACAAGAGGAACACAUCUUUUUGAUGUUUGGGACAGUGUGGGACAAGAGGAACACAUCUUUUUGAUGUUUGGGACAGUGUAGGCCAAGGGGAACACAUCACCAAGAAGCAGACAAGUGUGCAAACAAGGAAAGUAAAAGUUAUUAUUGUUCUUUGGUCAGGUGGUUAGGUUUCAGCCAGGCUACUAACCCUAUUCUUGCCUUUCAGGGAUUAAACAUUGUGUGUGAAGUCAUUUCAGGUACAGCUCCCUCCCCAUUGUUUGUUCCCCUGUGCUGUGAUUCCAAGAAUGUGUCAGAGGGACUGAAAAGGACUCAUGCCAUCACCUUCAUGAAGUUAGAAUGUGAUGAUGAGAGGAAUCCAACAAAUGACCUUAGCAGCAUCUUGACAAGUGUUGGCACCUUGCCCAGUUCACUUCAUGCUGGUUGUUGUGAGGGGCGAUGGAUCACUGAACUUCAUGCUGAAGAUGCAUGAACCUGAGCAGUCUGGAUUCACGCCUUACUCUUGGAAGGAUUUAGUGAAGUGUUUGGAAAGUUUUGGGAAUGAGUUGCUGAAUGGGUGAAAUGCAGCACGGAAAAAUUUUGGACAUAGAUGAGAAGAAAUGAGGACUUUGUGAGGAGACCAUUAGAAGUUAAUAAAGUGAAGUGAAGUGCAGUGCCAUUGGAUGUGGGUCACUGUAACCACCCAGUGUCCCGCGCCACACCUCAGGGGUGGCCCAUGGCUCUGUGCUGCGGUGCUGCCCCGCCCGUGGGGGUCUGGUGGAGGUGGUGGAGGGUUGUGUCGGGACUGACUCAAGUAUGCCGUCCACUCUCCCUGCCCUUCAAGGCUGUGGGUGGUGGAUGGGCAGAAAGACCACUGUGCCUUAGACAUGACCCUGUGCCGCUGAGGCCAGACUCCUGCCGUCCUUAAAGCUGACCUGCUGGCUGGUGGAGGCCUCGGCGCCGGCUGGCCAGUGUGGAGGCGCCUGCUUGGCCUGCUCUUCAGUGUUGGUAAGUACCAUGUACAGCUCAUCGCGGGACAGCGUGGGACAGUGCGGGACAAGAGGAAAGGCACAAGGAAAGUGACAAGUUUCAUUCUUUUGUUAGGGCUUGGCUAGGAUGCUAACCUCACCCUUGCCUUUCAGGGUCUGAAUAAUGUUGGCUAAGUCUUUCCAGGCACUCUUUGGCUCCUGGGACAGUGUGGGACAAGAGGAACACAUCACCAAGAAGCAGGCAAGAUGCCAAAUAUGGAGAGUAUAAACAAUUAUUGUUCUUUGGGCAGGUGGUUAGGCCUUUGCUAGGAUACUAAUCAUACUUUUGCCUUUCAGGGAUUUAAUAUUGUGUGUGAAGUCUUUCCAGGUACUUCUCCCCUCCUUAUGUUGAUUCCCUUGUGCUGUGACUCCAGGAAUGUGUUGGUGAAGGCAAAGGACUCAACCCAUCACCUUCAUGAAGACUGAAUCAGAAGGCAGCAGAGGAACAGGAAAAACUGAAAGGUCUUUUUUUUCAAUAGACAAGAAUUGGGUAGGUAUAUCAUCCUGCUAACCUUAUGUUGCUUUUCUAAUUGGAGAAGUUACUGGGUCCUUUAACCUCUUUUUUUCCUUUUCAUGCGUAAAUAGUGCAUUUUAAUCCAAGAUACUUAUUUUCUCUCCCAGUGGUGGCUUUCUUGAGCUGUAACUUGAGAAAUGUGCCAGCAACUGAAAAAGACUGCGAUCCAUCACCUUCAUGGAGCAAGAUUUACAGAUUUAUUUACUAACUAACUGACUCACUGAUUGGCCAAGUUGCUAAUUACUGACUAAGUGACUAAUGAGCAAGUGACUGAUUGGGAGAUUGAAUGACUGACCGUAAUCUUUCCCUUUCAUUAUUGGGUCUGAACUCUUAAUCUUCUUGAUGAUAUCUUCCAGGAUUGGGUGAGUAGCAGGUCCUAAUCUUUGCUUGCCUUUCAAGUAAGUGUUCAGUAAUAUGCACCUUGAGUCCUUUCAGAUAUCAUGCUCUUCAUCAGGGUACUCUUGUUGUGUCUGGAUAGCUUAAGUAGGUACCUGCAGAGAAGAAGAAAGCAUGAAAUCAGAAAGGGGUGAGGAGAGAAGAAGCAACCAUGAAACCAGAAAUUGCUGUCGCGGUCAAGAAGGAGAAGAAGGAGGAGAGGAGAGGAAGAAUAAAGGAUGAACUCAGAAAUGGCUGAGGAAAGAAGACACCAUGAAACUAGAAAUUGCCUUCAGUUUAGAAAAAAAAAAAAAGAGGAGGAGGAGGAGGAGGAGGAGGAGGAGGAAGAAAAAGAGUGAGAAAAAGCUCCAUAUCUAUUACAUUGGAAAUUAGAUGAAGAAAAAGAUGUCUGAGCAGAUUCAAAAGAGAUCCUUAAUUUAUUUCUCCUGUGAUGGUGGAAACUUUGAAGAAGGAAGAGUUCAAUAGG